CCAUCUCUCUCUCUCUUUUCAAGAAAAAAGAAAUCAUAAAAAUAAACAAUCAAACAUAAGGGAAGGAUUGAUUCAUAGUAGCAAAUAUUAUUUCUCAUUUUUGUUUGUUCCUUCUUCUUUUGAGGCCAAAAGAGACCAGAUUCAUUUUUGGUUUCUUCAAAGGCCAAACCUUUUUUUUCUUAUUUUCUUAUUUUCUCAGCAAACCUUUCUGCCAUCUUACAAAGAAAGAAAGAAAUCUGUUUGUCUGAGAAUUAUCUCGAUCCCUUUUGGAUUCCGAGUUUACAAGAACAUUCAUGAACUUCGAGUAAUCAUCUUCUUGUAGUAAUAGUCCAGGAAGAUACAUAUAAACAUAUAGACAGAAUGAAAAUAAAUUGCUUGCUCUGUUGUAUGUCGGAGAGACGAUUUACCAGACGAUCAUCAUCGAGACAAAGCAUCAAAGACUGCAUUGAUGCAAAGAACAAUAUAACUACAUUUGACAACAUCUCUUUUAAAACAGGUUCCAGUUUUUACCUUUUUCAUUAUGUAGAUACAUUCUCAAAAUAUUCCCUAAAAGCUUUCUAUCUAAACGAAGUGAGACAUAUUUGCACAUACCUGCAGAUAGCAGUAGGCGAAGAUAUAUAUCCGAGGAGAUAGCAAAACUCGGGAAAGGGAACAUUAG
rnacentral:lncRNA from 1 species